AUCCAACUGACGAGUUUCGAAUAGGAUGAAACAUGUGUAUUGGAU
rnacentral:hammerhead_ribozyme from 1 species